rnacentral:rRNA from 1 species
UUCCCGGGCCUUGUACACACCGCCCGUCACACCACGAAAGUUGGCAAUACCCGAAGCCGGUGGCCUAACCCGCAAGGGAGGGAGCCGUCGAAGGUAGGGUCGAUGAGUUGGGGUG